rnacentral:tRNA from 1 species
GGUGGCUCAAUGGUAGAGUGCUUGCCUUGCAUGCAUGAGGCCGUGGGUUCGAUUUCUCAACACCG